AGAGUUUGAUCAUGGCUCAGAUUGAACGCUGGCGGCAGGCCUAAUACAUGCAAGUCGAACGGUAACAUAAUAAAAGCUUGCUUUUAUUGAUGACGAGUGGCGGACGGGUGAGUAAUAUCUGGGAAACUGCCUGACAGAGGGGGACAACAACUGGAAACGGUUGCUAAUACCGCAUACACCCUAAGGGGGAAAGUCGCAAGACGCUGUCAGAUGUGCCCAGAUGGGAUUAGCUAGUAGGUGAGGUAAAGGCUCACCUAGGCGACGAUCUCUAGCUGGUCUGAGAGGAUGAUCAGCCACAUUGGGACUGAGACACGGCCCAGACUCCUACGGGAGGCAGCAGUAGGGAAUAUUGCACAAUGGGGGGAACCCUGAUGCAGCCAUGCCGCGUGUGUGAAGAAGGCCUUCGGGUUGUAAAGCACUUUCAGAGGGGAGGAAAGAAGACGUUACCCUCAGAAGAAGCACCGGCUAACUCCGUGCCAGCAGCCGCGGUAAUACGGAGGGUGCAAGCGUUAAUCGGAAUAACUGGGCGUAAAGGGCAUGCAGGCGGUUAAACAAGUAGGAUGUGAAAGCCCGGGGCUCAACCUCGGAAUUGCAUUCUAAACUGUGUAACUAGAGUAUUGCAGGGGGAGACGGAAUUCCAGGUGUAGCGGUGGAAUGCGUAGAGAUCUGGAAGAACACCAAAGGCGAAGGCAGUCUCCUGGGCAAAUACUGACGCUCAUAUGCGAAAGCGUGGGUAGCAAACAGGAUUAGAUACCCUGGUAGUCCACGCC
rnacentral:rRNA from 1 species